GGCUCUGUAGUGAAAUUCAUAUUGAGUUGCAAGCUCAUUGAUGUACAUUGAAUGUACCAGAGUCU
rnacentral:tRNA from 1 species